rnacentral:tmRNA from 1 species
CCACUAUAUUCCCCUUGCCGGUCGCAAGGCCGGCUAUGGCGAUAAACGUUCUUCGGAAUAAACCUAUCGGACCCGGGGGCGGUACCCGGCGCCUCCACCCGAGCCCAGGACAUGCUGCCGCAAGGCGCGUGACGUGCAGACUGGGCUUCGGCGGGGGCGAAAUAGGAUCGACGAGGGCGUAAAGGUUGAGCUUUCGCUCGGCAUGGUUCCGCCGUUAUCGGGCCAUUGCAAUAGUUGCCAACGACAACUUUGCUCCGGUGGCGGUGGCCGCGUAAGCGGUCCCCA